UACGUAGGGUGCGAGCGUUGUCCGGAAUUAUUGGGCGUAAAGGGCUCGUAGGCGGUCUGUCGCGUCGGGAGUGAAAACUCAGGGCUUAACCCUGAGCCUGCUUCCGAUACGGGCAGACUAGAGGUAUGCAGGGGAGAACGGAAUUCCUGGUGUAGCGGUGAAAUGCGCAGAUAUCAGGAGGAACACCAGUGGCGAAGGCGGUGCUCUGGGCCGGAACUGACGCUGAGGAGCGAAAGCGUGGGGAGCAAACAGG
rnacentral:rRNA from 1 species